rnacentral:rRNA from 1 species
UACGAAGGGGGCUAGCGUUGUUCGGAAUUACUGGGCGUAAAGCGCGCGCAGGCGGUCUUCCAAGUCAGUGGUGAAAGCCUGGAGCUCAACUCCAGAACUGCCAUUGAAACUGUUAGACUUGAGUACGAGAGAGGUGAGUGGAAUUCCCAGUGUAGAGGUGAAAUUCGUAGAUAUCGAGAGGAACACCGGUGGCGAAGGCGGCCAACUGGACGAAUACUGACGCUGAGACACGAAAGCGUGGGGAGCAAACAGG